rnacentral:rRNA from 1 species
GAAAAUCGCGUUAAGGGUAUAUGGUGAAUGCCUUGACAUAAAAAGACGAUGAAGGACGUAGCAGCCUGCGAUAAGCUUCGGGGAGGUGGCAAGCAACCUUUGAUCCGAAGAUAUCCGAAUGGGGAAACCUACUCUAUUGAAGAUAGAGUGCCCUGCUUUAGCAGGGGGAGCACCCGGUGAACUGAAACAUCUUAGUAGCCGGAGGAAAAGAUAACAAUAGUUAUUCCCUUAGUAGUGGCGAGCGAAAGGGGAAGAGCCUAAACUUUAUAAACCGAGUAAUUAUUAAUUUUGCUUUUGUGAAAGAGAUAUUGCGGAAGGAUUCAAGUCCACAUGUUUAUAUGGUGUUGCAAGACGAUUGCUUUUGUUUCUUGAAUAAAGCAAGGUAAAGUCAUAAAAAAUAUUUUUAAUUGAAUGAGCUGGAAAGCUCAGCCAAAGAAGGUGAUAGCCCUGUAAGUAAAAAAAAUAUUUCUUUACUGUGAUCGCUCUUAAGUAGUGCGGGCCUCGAGAAAUCCCGUAUGAAUCCGGGUCGACUAUGACCCAAGGCUAAAUACUUUUUAUGAUCGAUAGUGAACAAGUACCGUGAGGGAAAGGUGAAAAGCAUCCCGAUGAGGGAGGUGAAAUAGUACCUGAAACCAUAUACUUACAAGGAGUCGGAGCCUCAAUUUAUUGGGGUGACGGCGUGCCUAUUGAAGAAUGAGCCAACGAGUUUAUUCUAUGUGGCUUGCAUAAGCUCCUAUGGAGAAUAUGCGAAGUGAAAGCGAGGGUUAAUAGCCCGCUUCAGUUAUCUUAUCGGAAUAGGAUGCUUCUUAUUUCGGUAUGAUAAUUGAUAUGUCGCAUGGAUAAGACCCGAAGCCGGGUGAUCUAACCAUGGCCAGGUUGAAGUGUGGAGAAAUCCACAUGAAGGACCGAACCCACUAGCCGUGCAACACUAGGGGAUGAGCUGUGGUUAGCGGUGAAAUUCCAAUCGAACUCGGCGAUAGCUGGUUCUCCUCGAAAUAGCUUUUGGGCUAGCCUCGAAUGUUGACUACUGGGGGUAGAGCACUGAAUGAGGGCGGGCCGCAAGGUACCGUCUUUAACCAAACUCCGAAUACCAGUAGGUAUAAUUCGGGAGUCAGACCGUGGGCGCUAAGGUUCAUGUGUCAAAAGGGAAACAGCCCAGAUCGCAAUCUAAGGUCCCUAAAUAUAUACUAAGUGUAAAAGGUGGUGUUGUGACCACGACAAUUAGGAGGUUGGCUUAGAAGCAGCCAUCCUUUAAAGAUAGCGUAAUAGCUCACUAAUCAAGUUGUUUCGCGCCGAAAAUUUAUCGGGGCUAAGUAUAUUACCGAAGAUGCGAGUUCUAUCUUUUUAAGAUAGAGCGGUAGAGGAGCGUUCUAUUCCGCGUUGAAGCCAAGUCGUGAGUCUUGGUGGAGUGAAUAGAAGUGAGAAUGUUGGCAUGAGUAGCAAAAAGGCAGAUGAAAACUCUGCCCACCGAAAAUCUAAGGUUUCCUGGGCAACGUAAAUCGACCCAGGGUUAGUCGGUCCUAAGGCGUAUCUUGUGUAGUGCAAGAGAAGUCGAUGGAUGAGCUGGUUAAUAUUCCAGCACUACUGUAAUUUCUGAUGGAGGGACGCAAUUCUAAGAUUUAAGCGCUUUAUUGGUAUGAGCGUUGAUUGUUUCAAGAUGUGAUUUAGGCAAAUCCGGAUCACACAAGUCAAGAAACCGUCUAAAGGUGAAGCUUCGGUGGAUCCAAUUUAGGUUGAAGAGUUGCCAAGAAAAACUUCUAGGGUUAAAGAUUAUAGUAUCCGUACUAAAACCGACACAGGUAGAUGAGGCGAGAAGCCUCAGGUGUACGAGAGAAUCUUCGUUAAGGAACUCGGCAAAACAGCGGCCGUAAUUUAGAGAUAAGGCCUGCCCUGCUUGCAGGGCCGCAGCUAAAGAGAUCAAGGGACUGUUUAACAAAAACACAGCUCUCUGCUAAAUCGAAAGAUGAUGUAUAGAGGGUGAAGCCUGGCCAGUGUCCGAACGUUAAGAGGAGGGGUUAUUCCGUUUCGACGGGAGAAGCUCUGAAUUGAAGCGCGGAUGAACGCCGGCGAUAACUAUAAUCGUCCUAAGGUAGCGAAAUUCCUUGUCGGGUAAGUUCCGACCUGCACGAAUGGCUUAACCACUUGAUCACUGUCUCAACGAAGAACUCGGCGAAAUUGCAAUACGAGUAAAGAUGCUCGUUAACCAUAGUAGGACGAAAAGACCCCGUGAAGCUUUACUACAGCUUGAUAUUGAGUUAGGUGUAUGCAUGUUCAGAAUAGGUGGGAGCCUUCGGGCGCCAGUGAGAUACCACCCUUGUGUGCUUUUAAUUCUAACCCCGUUUAACGGGGGACAGUGUCUGGUGGGUAGUUUGUCUGGGGCGGAUGCCUCCCAAAAUGUAACGGAGGCGUUUACAAAGGUUGGUUAUCUCGGAAUGGAAACCCGAGAGAUAGUGUAAAGGCAUAAACCAGCUUUACUGCGAGACCUACCAGUCAAGCAGUCGCGAAAGCGGAACUUAGUGAUCCGACCAUUCAAUGUAGGAUGGUGGAAGCUCAUCGGAUAAAAGCUACUCCGGGGAUAACAGGCUAGUCACGCCCAAGCGUCCACAGCGACGGCGUGGUUCGGCACCUCGAUGUCGGCUCGUCGCAUCCUGGGGGUGGAGAAGCUCCCAAGGGUUGGGCUGUUCGCCCAUUAAAGCGGCACGCGAGCUGGGUUCAGACCGUCGUAAGACAGGUCGGUCUCCUAUCCACU